rnacentral:lncRNA from 1 species
CAGAAAUGGGAGUCGACACCGGUAGUCGACAGGCAAGGAGUCGAGGAACCCACCACAGUUUCGCGAAAUGUACACAAACAACUUUGAAAAGAUCUGACUGCUAAGUGGUAGUCCCUGUUCUCCUGCAUUCUUGUUUUACUUUUGAAUCUUCUAGCUUGGAUGAUAGGAUGGAGAAGGGAACAAAGUUCCUGAAACAUGUAGAUGACAUGAUGCAUGGCCUCUACAGCAGUGCUUGGCCACCCAUUCAUUUUCCAGUGAUCUUUUCUGCCACAUCCCAGGUAAGGGAGGGCAGAAUCAUCCCUCCUUAAAUCCACAGUCAUUGACAGUAAGUUUUGUGUGCAAAAUGUUUUUUUUGUUUGAUACUUUGAUAUUCAAUGUGUAUUGAUUCCUACUAACCAGUUUUGUAAGAGCUAGGUUCGUACACUCUCCAAACUGAGCUAUUUCAGCGAGCCGCUUGGCUUAUGUCAGUGUGACUUUUCAGGACACCUGCAAGUGGCACAGAAUAUGAGCACUCAGAAGGUAUCGCAUGGCCAGUACAGAGAUCGAACCUACAACCUUGGCUUAAUUAGCACAACAGUCAAUUGUUACCAGCUAUCGUGGCUCAGCAGGUACUAGCGAGUAAUCUACCAAGUAAGGAUAGCCUGGCCAGGGCUAAAGCCAGAACAAGAGCCUCUUGAUUGCUUCUUGUGGCCACUUCAAGCAGCUGGGGACUCUCUUAGCAAGCAGGAGGUAGUGUGAUUGAUGCCCACAUUCUCCAACACGGGUGGGUAUAAUUUGUGGAACGUUCCAACAGGAAUCCGUUCCAAAAACUCCGCAAAUGUCAAGGUUGCCAACCAACAACGCAUACAAAGUCGUAUAACGGUUGAAUGAGAUACCGGGUAGGGAGUGAGCAAUGUAAUAACGUUUUUCACUCACCACGUUUAUCCCGAAAAAUGUAUCUUCGUUCUGGUAGCCUCCACCAUUCCUCGUUCGUUGGUUUAGUUAUUAUUUCCGGUGUUCCUGCAUUCGCCGGUGAACUCUGUUGCGCCUCAAUUAGGGAAUCGCUAUGGUUGAAAUGUAACUAAUGACUGCCAGCCCCAGUAUUUUAUUAGGUAGGUGGAUUGUUCACAAUUGUUACCGAUGAUACUGUAUAUACCAGCCUACUCGUAUUACAGAAACAUACAAUGUAUUUUGCCAAGUUCUCUCUGUGUUAAUCCUGGUUCCCAAAUAUCAGCUAACUUGUGUCUGUGUCGAUGUUGUUUAGUUCAACUUGCCUAGUUAAAUAGAGAUUAAAUAAAUUAGAACGUAUACAAUAUGCUUUGACCUAUUUCAGGUAACCUAAAGAUGCUUGAUUCACUAUAGUUGCUUUUGAAGAACAUUCCAGUCGUUUGUGCUUUACAUUACGAUUUUUGAACAUCUGUUUGUUGGACAUAUAUAUUAGUGUCUUAUAAAAAAGGGCAACGUAUGCAAAGCAUCCCAUCUGUUUUAAGGUUAUAGUGUGUAUGUGUGUUGUGUAGUUCCUCUUGAUGUCCACUAGGUGUCAGCACAGCUUCAAUAAUGUCACACCAGGGUCACAACAUGUUUUCAUGUGUAACCUUACAGUGAAAUGCUGACUUACAAGCCCUUAACCAACAAUUUCGUUUUAAGAAAAAUAUGUGUUAAGUAAAAAAUAAGAAAUAAAAUGAACAAAUAAUUAAAGAGCAGUAGUAAAAUCAAAAUAGCGAGGCUACAUACAUAUGUACCGGUUUGUCGAGGUAAUUGAGGUGUUCCUUUCAAUUCCAGUGGUGUAAAUGACUUAACAAAAAAUGUAUUUAAACUACUCCACUACAUUCCGUUUAUAUAUCUGUUUAUUUUGUAUGUGUACUUUUACUCUUUCUGUUUCUUUACAACUUGAAAUUUUACUUCACUACAUUUCUAAAUAAAAUAAUUUAUUUUUUACUCUAUUCAGUUUCCCUGGCACACAAAUGUACUUGUUUCAUUUCAAAUGCUGAGCCGGACAGGAAAAUGGUUAAAUUCACACACUUAUCAAGAGAACAUCCCUGGUCAUCCCUACUGCCUCAGAUCUAGCGGACUCACUAAACACAUGCUUCAUUUGUAAAUUAUGUCUGAUUGUUGGAG